rfam:Arabidopsis lyrata subsp. lyrata unplaced genomic scaffold ARALYscaffold_2, whole genome shotgun sequence.
AAGAAUGAGGAAGACGAUGAGGAAUUGGAAGUUCCGGUGAUGUGAAAAACUCAGGUGAAGAAGACGAGUUGAAAAAAUUUGGCCCUAUUUUUUUGUCUUUUGAUAUAUGAAGAUGACAU